rnacentral:rRNA from 1 species
AUGCGUUGGUUUUCUUGGUGGAAGCUUUGUUUCCCAAAGAAUCUUGGAGGGUUUGGGUACUGAGACCUCCACUCUUUUAACCUUGCAAUGUUGGCAAAGCAGGUUUGGAGACUUUGCAAUCCCGAUUCUUUGUGUGAUAGGAUCCUAAAAACAAAAUAUUUUCCCAAGCAAAGUAUACUUGAGGCAGGGCCUAAAAAAGGAUCCUCAUUUACAUGGCAAAGCAUUUUUGCCGGUAUUCAAACUUUCAAAAGAGGUUAUAUUUGGAGGGUAGGAAACGGCGAGUCAAUUGAUAUAUGGAGAGACCCAUGGAUACCUACCAGUCCGGACAGAAGGGUUUUGUCCACGAGAGGUAAUACCGUGAUUACCAGUAUGGCUGAGCUGCUUGACCCUUAUUCGGGACAAUGGAAUGAAGACCUUGUGCGGUCUGUUUUUCUCACAGAGGAUGCAACCAGAAUCCUGGAAAUUCCUUUAAGUCUGAAUAGCUUUGAUGAUUUUGUUGCAUGGCAUUAUAACCGAAACGUGAUGUUCUCGGUGAAAUCGGCAUAUCAUGUGGAAUGGAGACACCAGUUCGGGAAUUCAUACCAAACUAUGGCAUCAUCAUCUAGAGGAUUGAACCCAAUUUGGAAGAAGGUCUAGGCACUUUCGGUUCCUGGUAAGGUCAAAACUUUUGUGUGGAAAGUGUUACAUGGAGUCAUUCCCGUUAAAUCAACUCUGACAAAUCGUCAUAUUUGGACGGGCCACCGAUGUCCAAUUUGUCAUGAUCACCCAAAAUACCUGAAACACUUGCUAUUUUUAUGCGCACCGGCAAAAACGAUGUGGUUCUAA